rnacentral:rRNA from 1 species
GACGAACGCUGGCGGCGUGCUUAACACAUGCAAGUCGAACGGAAAGGCCCUGCUCUUGUGGGGUGCUCGAGUGGCGAACGCGUGAGUAACACGUGAGUAACCUGCCCUUGUCUUUGUGAUAACUUCACGAAACUGGGGCUAAUACCGGAUAGGAGCUCCUGCUGCAUGGUGGGGGUUGGAAAGUUUCGGCGGUUGGGGAUAGACUCGCGGCUUAUCAGCUGGUUGGUGGGGUAGUGGUUUACCAAGGGUUUGACGGGUAGCCGGCCUGAGAGGGUGACCGGCCACAUUGGGACUGAGAUACGGACCAGUCUCCUACGGGAGGCAGCAGUGGGGAAUAUUGCACAAUGGGCGGAAGCCUGAUGCAGCAACGCCGCGUGCGGGAUGACGGCCUUCGGGUUGUAAACCGCUUUCGCCUGUGACGAAGCGUGAGUGACGGUAAUGGGUAAAGAAGCACCGGCUAACUACGUG